AGGGUGUAAACGCUGCGGGCUUGGUGUUGGGGGUCCUUAGUGGGCGCCCAGUGCCGGAGAGAAGUUGUUAAGCCUGCUGCUUGGGGAGUAUGUCCGCAAGGAUGAAACUUAAAGGAAUUGGCGGGGGAGCACCGCAACGGGAGGAGCGUGCGGUUCAAUUGGAUUCAACGCCGAAAAACUCACCGGAUAAGACAGCUGAAUGAUAGUCGGGACGAAGACUCUACUUGACUAGCUGAGAGGUGGUGCAUGGCGUAGUCGUGU
rnacentral:rRNA from 1 species